rnacentral:lncRNA from 1 species
CCUAAUUAAGAUGAAUAUUAUUCCUGUGAAAUGAACCAAAAAGUUGUUUGAAACCGGAAAUCCCAAAAGAGAUCUAUAGUCUUCAGGAAUAAUUGCAUGCAAUUUUAAUUGAAAGAAAAGGAGAGGCCUAUUUUCAUCUUUCUCCUUUUAAAAUGUUAAAAGUAAUCAACCUGUUGGUCAAUUAACAAUGCUUUAAUAUAACUAUCAAUCUGACCUAAAAAUUGACAUUAGAUAUUUUGGAAACUGUUGUGGAAUUUAAAAAAAUAAAUGGCAAAAUGACUACUGGCUAUAGUUAAAUCCAUUAUGGAACUUUUAUCAUUAAUGAAAUAAAGUUAUGAAUUUUUACUAAUGUCCUUAGAAAUAUAGUACAUUUUAUUGUUAAUUGAAGAUUAGAUGCUAUGACUAUUCACAGAAAUAUACACUCAAUCUUUGUUCAUUGAGAAUGAAAGAGGAGAUCUAUUUUUUUGAAAUAGAGAUUAAUUACACUGAUAAAUUUGCUUUAUAUAAAUAGUUGGCAUUUAUCUCCAACCUAUUAAAAAUUUUUAAUAACAUUAAAGAGUUAUUCUGUUUUAAAGUUCAGUUUUAACAGAUACAUGUCAACAAAAUAUAUGUUUACAUUUCAAGUCAUUUCGUAUAGUAAUUCAGAACUUUGGCUGUUUAAAGUUGCACACUUAGAAAUACUUUGAAUAAGCAGAUGUAUUUAUUUAAUGGUUUCUCACAUCGACUCUACUCUUGAUUAUGGGCAAGAGGUUGAUUUUGUCUAUCAUCUGUCUAAAAUGUCAUGUUAGUUGUGCUAAAGAUACUAUAGAGUGGAUUAAAAAGAUAACAUUAUAAAUNNAAACUUUUGAUUCCCCCAGUAUUUCAGGGCUUCCCGGUGGCGCUAGUGGUAAAGAAGCUGCCUGCCAGUGCAGGAGGCAUAAGAGACGUGGGUUCUAUCCUUGGGUUGAGAAGAUUGCUCUGGAGAAGGAAAUGCCAACCCACUCCAGUAUUCUUGCCUGGAAAACCCCAUGCACAGAGGAGCUUAGUGGGCUAUAUAGUCCAUGCGUUUGCACGGAGUCAAACACAACUGAAGGGACUUAGCACCAGUAUUUCAGAUUAGCAUUCGGGCANNNNNNNNNNNNNNNNNNNNNNNNNNCCAUAUACAAAUAGGUAUGAAUUUGGCCCUCCAUUCUUUAGAAGAAGCUGAUGUUAGAUUUUCUCUCACAUACUAUAAUUCAAAGCAAAGUGAGAAAAUUCAGGUUAAAAUUUUAGAUACAUCUUAAAAAUGGUAUUAUGGUCAAAAUAGUUAAUCCCUCAUUUACAGAAUAUAAUUUAGAUCAAUGUAAGUGAAUUUUGCAGAUGAAUGAAAUUUACUCUUUUAAUCAUUAAAACCUUUUUCUUUGUAACAACUUCAAAGUCUCCCAGUAUUAUCUCAUGUUCUGUGUAGUAAGUUUAAGGAUAUACUAUUUUGUUGCAAAAUUCCAGGGCUGGAAAAGAAUUUAGAUUUUAUUAAAAAUCUUCCAGUAUGACUGUUUUAUUUAACAGAUCCGGAGUUUUAAACCCAAGUUUAUGGUACAUCUUACUCAAUAUCA